GGCUCUGUGGUGCAACGGACAGCCUGUUGGACUUCUAGCAUCAGCACUGAGGAAGUGAUUCAAGUGGGUUCGAGUCCCACCAGAGUCC
rnacentral:tRNA from 1 species